rnacentral:lncRNA from 1 species
GACGAGUGAGCCGAAGACUAAACUACUCGGGCUCCUGGACCAGCACUCCAAGCCCUUACGGACAGAAGAGUGUGCUUAGUAACAACCCUCCCCAAUACGGCUGAAACUGAUACCGAAUCGUAAAAUUCCAGGAGUGAGGCUGAGACUCAGGAGGAUAUGAUGAAAUCCGGCUUCAAAUAUUACAACUUUCUUCCCUACUGCUGUCUCGUGGAAUCCUCCCCUCCACCACCCCGCCACCCCUCCUCCUAGUAGAAGAAGCUCUUUCCCACCCUACAGGCCACUGCCACAACCCAGCUCCUUCCUAAGUCCUUGGGGCCCUCAGUUUUUAGGGGCAGACAACUUGAAUGCUAGUGUUGCAGACUCAGUGACACUGCCUGGCAUCUCCUACUGACACUAAGACACAACCUGUGUCUACUUCACAG